UUCCCGAUUUUGAGAGGAGUAAAUGGCAUGCGUUGGUUAUUGUUUCAAUAAUAUUAAUAAUUUGCUGUUGGUAAUGAAAUGUUAUUCGUCUUCGUUGGUAUCUGGUUUUCCAAGAAAUGAAUUUAAUUCAUACGUCUUAUUUAGAUUUAUUAUUUUAUUAUUUAAUUUUUAUAUGAUGUUAAGAUUGAGGGGGAUUAGCUCCUUAUUUUACUUUUAUAAUUUUCUUGUCUUGCAAUUCUUGUUGAUUUUAUAUUGAUUUUCAAUUGGAUUAUGUUAAAAUUUUAUUUUAUUUGUUUUUAAUUUAUUGGUUAUUUAAGGUUUAUAUUGGAACUUUCAUUUUAUUUUUGUUUAUGUCGUGAUUAUUGUGAUAUUAGUAAAUUUUCUUUUUAUAUAAGUGGUUGAUAAUUGUUAAUUUCUUCUUAGGAAUUAGGCAAAAUUUUGUGUCCGCCUGUUUAACAAAAACAUCUUUUCUUGUUAGUUUUUGAAGUAUGGCCUGCCCACUGAUUUAUUGAAGGGCCGCGGUAUUUUGACCGUGCAAAGGUAGCAUAAUCAUUAGUUCUUUAAUUGUGAUCUGGAAUGAAUGGCUUGACGAGAUGCUAGCUGUCUUAGAUUUUGAUGAAAGUUUUAUUUAAUUUGGUCUCUGAGUUAAAAUUCUCAGAUGUUUUUAUGGGACGAGAAGACCCUAUAGAGUUUAGACAUAUUAUCUUUUAUUUAUUAUGUUAGUUUGUCUUUUUAAAGGUUUAUUUGUUUUGUUGGGGUGAUGGGAAGAAUUUAUUAAACUCUUCUUUUCUUUAUUACAUUUAUUUAUGUUAUUAUGAUC
rnacentral:rRNA from 1 species